rnacentral:rRNA from 1 species
CCAAACUGUUGCCUCGGCGGGAUCUCUGCCCCGGGUGCGUCGCAGCCCCGGACCAAGGCGCCCGCCGGAGGACCAACCAAAACUCUUUUUGUAUACCCCCUCGCGGGUUUUUUAUAAUCUGAGCCUUCUCGGCGCCUCUCGUAGGCGUUUCGAAAAUGAAUCAAAACUUUCAACAACGGAUCUCUUGGUUCUGGCAUCGAUGAAGAACGCAGCGAAAUGCGAUAAGUAAUGUGAAUUGCAGAAUUCAGUGAAUCAUCGAAUCUUUGAACGCACAUUGCGCCCGCCAGUAUUCUGGCGGGCAUGCCUGUCCGAGCGUCAUUUCAACCCUCGAACCCCUCCGGGGGGUCGGCGUUGGGGAUCGGCCCUGCCUUGGCGGUGGCCGUCUCCGAAAUACAGUGGCGGUCUCGCCGCAGCCUCUCCUGCGCAGUAGUUUGCACACUCGCAUCGGGAGCGCGGCGCGUCCACAGCCGUUAAACACCCAACUUCUGAAAUGUUGACCUCGGAUCAGGUAGGAAUACCCGCUGAACUUAAGCAUAUCAAUAAGCGGAGGAAACCC